UACAGAGGUCUCAAGCGUUGUUCGGAUUCAUUGGGCGUAAAGGGUGCGUAGGCGGCGCGGUAAGUCGGGUGUGAAAUCUCGGGGCUUAACUCCGAAACUGCAUUCGAUACUGCCGUGCUUGAGGACUGGAGAGGAGACUGGAAUUUACGGUGGAGCGGUGAAAUGCGUAGAUAUCACUUGGAACGCCAACGGUGAAAACAGGCAGCUGGGGUUGUGCUGACGCUGAGACACGAAAGCCAGGGGAGCAAACGGG
rnacentral:rRNA from 1 species